GACGAACGCUGGCGGCGUGCUUAACACAUGCAAGUCGAACGGAGUGGCGAACGGGUGAGUAACACGUGGGUGACCUGCCCUGCACUUCGGGAUAAGCCUGGGAAACUGGGUCUAAUACCGGAUAGUGUGGGAUGGGCCCGCGGCCUAUCAGCUUGUUGGUGGGGUAAUGGCCUACCAAGGGGGCGACGGGUAGCCGGCCUGGGAGGGUGGACGGGCACAAUGGGACUGAGGGACGGCGCAGACUGCUACAGUGGGCAACGGUGGAGAAUAUUACACAGUGGUCGGAAGCCUGAUGCAGCGGCGCCGCGUGGGGGAUGACGGCCUUCGGGUUGUAAACUCCUUUCACCAUCGACGCGGUAGAUGGAGAAGAAGCACCGGCUAACUACGUGCCAGCAGCCGCGGUAAUAC
rnacentral:rRNA from 1 species